rnacentral:lncRNA from 1 species
GGUGUCCAUUUUGGCAUGUAACCAGUAGUAGCUAACUAGCUAAAACUUAAGGUUUUACGAUGUUUGAGGUUGCUUGGUUCUGGGGACGAUGGUUCUGAGUGCAGCGCAUGCGGCAGGCUGAACCCUGGGUGUUCAGAUGUUGUGAUGCACUUUUGCAAGUUCCUGAACCAAAUACUGUUCAUAUAAACGAAAAGUAUGCCUGCAAUCCUUGCUAUGUUCAAAUUAGAAUUACUGCUUAGUUGUGAGAGAGAGAGAGAGUUGCAAGUAGAUCUUGGUAAGAUCUCGUACAGCACGUGUGCUGCAAGCGGUGUCCAUUUUGGCAUGUAACCAGUAGUAGCUAAAACUUAGGGCCUGUUUGGAACGAAGGAAUAGAAAACAUAGGAAUAGGAAAAAAUGCAGGAAAGGAAAGUAAACAAAGUGGCAAAACAGAGGAAAGAAAAACUGCAGGAAAAAAAUAGAAAGGGGCGUUUGGACAUAGGAAUUUGUAACACAGGAAUUGCAAAGCAUAUGAUUUAACAAAUACACUUAGCACAUAAUGACGAUUUGGAACAUACAAAUUUGUAACACAUGUAUUUGUUUUUAUUCUUACUUUAAAGGGUAGGACCUGCUAUAGUGCUAUCCAUGAGUUAUAUAGCUUGCAGUAGUAUGGCUACAUACGCUAGAGCAAAGCACAUUGAAUGGUGAUACGGCUUGGCUAAUCAUUUGUCCCCUAGCUGUGUUAGCGCCUUAACAGCAGCAUGCUGCCUCGGACUUCCGCGAAGAGCGGAAAACCAGAGCAUGGAGUGGAUUUUUUCAUUCCUGUGAAAACGCGAAGGGACUACAGUAUUCCAUAGGAAAGGGAGGGGUGUUUUCCUGUGUUCCAAACAGCAUGGUUGCUUCCCUUUCCUUUGUUUUUGUUUCCUUUGAAUUUCCUACAAAAAUCCUAUGAUCCAAACAGGCCCUUAAGGUUUUACGAUGUUUGAGGUUGCUUGGUUCUGGGGACGAUGGUUCUGAGUGCAGCGCAUGCGGUAGGCUGAACCCUGGGUGUUCAGAUGUGGUGAUGCACUUUUGGAAGUUCCUGUUUUCAUGGUUAAAAAACUCUGAACACUUGGUUGUUGUGAGUGCGAGGCAAUAAACUUCGGGCUUCCGUCAUGGAUAAAAGAAAAGAAUGACUGCUUAGUUGGAAGCAGAAUAAUCCAGAGUUAGUCAGAGCCAAUUAACCGAUAGUAGUAAAUUUGUUGCGCAC